GAUGAAGAACGUAGCGAAAUGCGAUAAGUAGUGUGAAUUGCAGAAUUCCGUGAAUCAUCGAAUCUUUGAACGCACAUUGCGCCUCCUGGUAGUCCGGGAGGCAUGCCUGUUCGAGCGUCACCAAAUCCAACUCAAGCGGUUUUGCGCUUGGUCGUGGCGGAAGAGUCGGUCUGGUUGCCGUCUCCCCUCCGAAAAUCAACGGCGGAAAGUCACUGGCAGUCAGCGUAGUAGUAUCGUUCGCCGAACAUCCAGUGGCAUUCCUGCCGACGUACCCCCACAAUUCUCGUGAUUGACCUCGGAUCAGGUAGGGAUACCCGCUGAACUUAAGCAUAUCAAUAAGCGGAGGA
rnacentral:misc_RNA from 1 species